CCUACGGGAGGCAGCAGUGGGGAAUUUUGGACAAUGGGCGCAAGCCUGAUCCAGCAAUGCCGCGUGAGUGAAGAAGGCCUUCGGGUUGUAAAGCUCUUUUGUCAGGGAAGAAACGGUGGAGGUUAAUACCUUCUGCUAAUGACGGUACCUGAAGAAUAAGCACCGGCUAACUACGUGCCAGCAGCCGCGGUAAUACGUAGGGUGCAAGCGUUAAUCGGAAUUACUGGGCGUAAAGCGUGCGCAGGCGGUUGUGCAAGACAGAUGUGAAAUCCCCGGGCUCAACCUGGGAAUUGCAUUUGUGACUGUACGGCUAGAGUGUGUCAGAGGGGGGUAGAAUUCCACGUGUAGCAGUGAAAUGCGUAGAGAUGUGGAGGAAUACCGAUGGCGAAGGCAGCCCCCUGGGAUAACACUGACGCUCAUGCACGAAAGCGUGGGGAGCAAACAGGAUUAGAUACCCUGGUAGUCCACGCCCUAAACGAUGUCUACUAGUUGUCGGUUCUUUAUUGUAUUGUACGACAGCUACGCGUGAGUAGACCGCCGUGGGAGGUACGGUCGCGAGAGUAAACGUACGAAAGAAGUUAGACGGCGUGAGACGAGCGACGGACGACGACGAGGGGAGGAGG
rnacentral:rRNA from 1 species